rnacentral:rRNA from 1 species
AUGCGCGCUAGCCUCGCCUCGUACGCGCAAGACCUCGCCAUGCCUGCCUUGGACGUCAUGCCGGAGAAGGCCCACCAGCCGGCCAUGUCGCCGUCGCACCACGGCCACGGGUGGGACGCCAGCGGCGCCCCCACCCCCAUGCACAAGAGGCUGGACGGCAAGGUGGCCAUUGUCACCGGCGGCGCGCGGGGCAUCGGGGAGGCCAUCGUCAGGCUCUUCGUCAAGCACGGCGCCAAGGUGGUCAUCGCGGACAUCGACGACGCCGCCGGCGAGGCGCUGGCCGCCUCGCUCGGCCCGCACGUCGCCUUCGUGCGCUGCGACGUGUCCGUGGAGGAGGACGUGGAGCGCGCCGUCGACCGCGCCGUGUCGCGCUACGGCCGCCUCGACGUCUUCUGCAACAACGCCGGGGUGCUGGGCCGCCAGACCAGCGCCGCCAAGAGCAUCCUCACGUUCGACGCCGGCGAGUUCGACCGCGUGCUCCGCGUCAACGCGCUGGGCACCGCGCUCGGCAUGAAGCACGCCGGGCGCGCCAUGAUGGCCCGCCGCUACGGCAGCAUCGUCUCCAUCGCCAGCGUCGCCGGCGUGCUCGGCGGCCUCGGCCCGCACGCAUACACCGCCUCCAAGCACGCCAUCGUGGGGCUCACCAAGAACGCCGCCUGCGAGCUGGGCGCGCACGGCAUCCGCGUCAACUGCGUCUCGCCCUUCGGCGUCGCCACCCCAAUGCUCAUCAACGCGUGGCGCCAGGGCCACGACGCGUCCGCCGCCGACGACGCCGACGCCGACAUCGGCCUCGACGUGGCCGCGCCGAGCGACCAGGAGGUGGAGAAGAUGGAGGAGGUGGUGAGGAGCCUCGCCACGCUCAAGGGGUCCACCCUCAGGCCCAGGGACAUCGCCGAGGCGGUGCUCUUCCUGGCCAGCGACGACUCCAGAUACGUGUCCGGCCACAACCUCGUGGUGGACGGCGGCGUCACCACCUCAAGAAACUUGAUCGGGCUGUGA